CCUACGGGGGGCAGCAGUGAGGAAUAUUGGUCAAUGGCCGGAAGGCUGAACCAGCCAUGCCGCGUGAAGGUCAGUGCCCUUUGGGCGUUAAACUUCUUUUGUGCGGGAGCAAUAAUGGUCACGUGUGGCCAGACGAGAGUACCGUACGAAUAAGCAUCGGCUAACUCCGUGCCAGCAGCCGCGGUAAUACGGGGGAUGCAAGCGUUUGCCGGAUUUAUUGGGUUUAAAGGGUGCGUAGGCUGUGAGGUAAGUCAGCGGUGAAAUGCCCCCGCUCAACGGGGUGAAGUGCCAUUGAUACUGGCUAGCUGGAAUGCGGAUGCGGUGGGUGGAAUGUGUGGUGUAGCGGUGAAAUGCAUAGAUAUCACACAGAACAUCGAUUGCGAAGGCAUCUAACGAAUACGCGAUUGACGCUGAUGCACGAAAGCGUGGGUAUCAAACAGGAUUAGAUACCCGUGUAGUC
rnacentral:rRNA from 1 species